CAUAGACAGAGUCAAUUGGGACCAGCGACUUAGUUUCAUUUAUAUCUCAACUUUCUGUUGAUUAGUCUUAUUCAUGUGUACACUGUUUGAAAGUGCCGUAUUGACGUUCGAUUAAUAUUUAUAUAAUUCAUAUUUUAUUUCAACUAGACUCUGUAAGGAAUCGAACCUUUAUUUCACAGCAUGCCUUGCCGAUGCUCAACCACAGAGCCAUGAGUCACAUUACUGAGCUCACUGUUUCACUUCGUCAUUUGAGACCGUUUGAGUGGCAUGUGAAGAGCUGCCAUUUUACUAAACUAAACUACACAUGAGAAUGGUAUCUGUCAACCAAAAGCAAGAACAAACAUUGGAAUCAAAUUUAUCAGCUGCAUCUCAACUACUAAUCUAACUAUAUUCAAUUAAUCACCCCCUAAACUUAAAUUCAAGGACUACAAAUACAACUAGCUGCAGUCAAAAACAGCAGUGCCAAAAUUGGUUGCCACAAGUUAGACAACUAUGAUAUAACUACAAGAGCAUAAAUUACGAGUGCAAUCUCUUUCAAUUCCCUACAAUUUUCAAUCUACAUCUGGGAAACAUGUAGUAAGAUUUAAAAAUUAACUAUAAUCAAUCGCAUGAGAACACAACAUGUUUAGUAGACGUGUUUGUAACAGUAAAGUCUCCUUCCAUUUGGGGGAUCUUUGAUUCUCAAAAAGCAACAACAAAGUUUUGUUUCACCACAGACUAGGAGUAGAUUGUAGUCCUAGUCUGCAGUCUCAUUACCAACAUUGUUAAACAUUAGAAAAUAAAAGCAAGUCCUUUAGAGUUAUGAAUAAAAAGAUCAAAAUGGA